UAUUGUGUGUAAAAAGAAAUAAAUUGAUAUUAAGAUAUUUAAAAAGUUUAAGUAUCAGGUUUGGUUUAAACUGCCUUGAUUAUAUACACAUUCUUAUUUACUCAGUUUGCUGAUUUGUUCUAGUGAGUUUAAACCACAAGGUGUAAGGAUUGAAUUCGAUUGAUAGAUAAAUGGAAUUGGAUUAAACGACGGACAUUUUCAUCCUGAGUUCAAUGCCGGCCAAUCAGGUGAUGACCCCAUUUCCUCUCAACGCAGCCCGCCAUGACACUAUCUCAACAGUCCCAACACCUGCUCAGCUUGGUCAAUAUGUUAAUGCUUUGGGCCCAAACUAGCACCCCUAAACGGGGAUGAAGAACUGGUCAUCCAGAGAUCUCUGACAAUAACAAAACUAGCGGUUUUGAACGAAAACAAUGGACCAACACAAAAUCAAAAGGAACAUUACUAAAAUAGAGUUGCUUCUAUAGCAUCUUCAUCAGAAAUUGUAAAAACAACAACAACAAUGUUUUAAUUAAUAUAAUAUGAUAGUUCAAACACAAAGUAUUAAUGCACAGUAUGUGUACCGCCACAAAUUUUCAUCUUUGGCAGAAAAAAAGGAUAACUAUUAAAAAAAAAGCCAGAUUUUUACAAAGUUUACAGUAACUUACUCUACUUGUUUAUUUGUCUGGAGCAACUUCUGUGCAUGCUAUUUCUCCCACGACCAUUCCCGGAUCAAUUAUACAUUGUACACUUUUAUUUAUUGUCUUUAAUAAAACAUGACUCAAUAAAAAAUUUAACAAAUUAG